AUGUUGUAUGUAAGGAGAAAAGGUUAGCACUCUGCUUGAUAAAGAUGGCAGGGGUUCACGUGACUUUAAACAUACAAAUCAUUAAGGCAUUACCAUCUGCUUACUGGCAUCUAAUUGUUUUGG